AGAGUUUGAUUCUGGCUCAGAUUGAACGCUGGCGGCAGGCUUAACACAUGCAAGUCGAGCGGAAACGAAGGUAGCUUGCUACCAGGCGUCGAGCGGCGGACGGGUGAGUAAUGCUUAGGAAUCUACCGAGUAGUGGGGGAUAGCCAUUGGAAACGAUGAUUAAUACCGCAUAUAUCCUACGGGGGAAAGCAGGGGACCUUCGGGCCUUGCGCUAUUCGAUGAGCCUGAGUGAGAUUAGCUAGUUGGUGGGGUAAAGGCCUACCAAGGCGACGAUCUCUAGCUGGUCUGAGAGGAUGAUCAGCCACACUGGGACUGAGACACGGCCCAGACUCCUACGGGAGGCAGCAGUGGGGAAUAUUGCACAAUGGACGAAAGUCUGAUGCAGCCAUGCCGCGUGUGUGAAGAAGGCCUUCGGGUUGUAAAGCACUUUCAGCGAGGAGGAAAGGUCAGUAAGUAAUAUUUGCUGGCUGUGACGUUACUCGCAGAAGAAGCACCGGCUAAUUUAGUGCCAGCAGCCGCGGUAAUACUAAAGGUGCAAGCGUUAAUCGGAAUUACUGGGCGUAAAGCGCGCGUAGGUGGUUUGUUAAGUUGGGUGUGAAAGCCCAGGGCUCAACCUUGGAACUGCAUUCAAAACUGACUCACUAGAGUACGAGAGAGGUUAGUGGAAUUUCCUGUGUAGCGGUGAAAUGCGUAGAGAUGGGAAGGAACACCAGUGGCGAAGCGACUGACUGGCUCGAUACUGA
rnacentral:rRNA from 1 species